rnacentral:rRNA from 1 species
GUAGGGGGCUAGCGUUGCUCGGAUUUACUGGGCGUAAAGAGCGCGUAGGCGGCCAGGUAAGUCCGGUGUGAAAGCCCUCGGCUCAACCGAGGAUCCGCAUCGGAAACUACCUGGCUUGAGUCCAGGAGAGGAGGGUUGAAUUCCCGAUGUAGCGGUGAAAUGCGUAGAUAUCGGGAGGAACACCUGUGGCGAAGGCGGCCCUCUGGAAUGGUACUGACGCUGAGGCGCGAAAGCUGGGGGAGCGAACGGGGAUUAGAUACCCCGGUAGUCCCAGCUGUAAACGAUGGGCACUAGGUGUGGGAGGUAUUGACCCCUUCGUGCCGCAGCUAACGCAUUAAGUGCCCCGCCUGGGGGAGUACGGCCCGCAAGGUUG